GGAGGGUGCAAGCGUUAUCCGGAUUCACUGGGUUUAAAGGGUGCGUAGGCGGGCAGGUAAGUCCGUGGUGAAAUCUCCGAGCUUAACUCGGAAACUGCCAUGGAUACUAUUUGUCUUGAAUACUGUGGAGGUGAGCGGAAUAUGUCAUGUAGCGGUGAAAUGCUUAGAUAUGACAUAGAACACCAAUUGCGAAGGCAGCUCACUGCGCAGUCAUUGACGCUGAGGCACGAAAGCGUGGGGAUCAAACAGGAUUAGAUACCCUGGUAGUCCACGCCCUAAACGAUGGAUACUCGACAUACGUGAUAUGACAAUGUGUGUCUGAGCGAAAGCAUUAAGUAUCCCACCUGGGAAGUACGACCGCAAGGUUGAA
rnacentral:rRNA from 1 species